GAUGCAACGCGAAAAACCUUACCCACCUUUGACAUGUAUGGAAUCCUUUAGAGAUAGAGGAGUGCUCGAAAGAGAGCCAUAACACAGGUGCUGCAUGGCUGUCGUCAGCUCGUGUCAUGAGAUGUUGGGUUAAGUCCCGCAACGAGCGCAACCCUUGCCAUUAGUUGCUACGAAAGGGCACUCUAAUGGGACUGCCGGUGACAAACCGGAGGAAGGUGGGGAUGACGUCAAGUCCUCAUGGCCCUUAUAGGUGGGGCUACACACGUCAUACAAUGGCUGGUACAGAGGGUUGCCAACCCGCGAGGGGGAGCCAAUCCCAUAAAGCCAGUCGUAGUCCGGAUCGCAGUCUGCAACUCGACUGCGUGAAGUCGGAAUCGCUAGUAAUCGCGGAUCAGAAUGUCGCGGUGAAUACGUUCCCGGGUCUUGUACACACCGCCCGUCACACCAUGGGAGCGGGUUCUGCCAGAAGUAGUUAGCCUAACCGCAAGGAGGGCGAUUACCACGGCAGGGUUCGUGACUGGGGUGAAGUCGUAACAAGGUAACCGU
rnacentral:rRNA from 1 species